rnacentral:rRNA from 1 species
UACUACGGGAGGCAGCAGUAGGGAAUCUUCCGCAAUGGACGAAAGUCUGACGGAGCAACGCCCCGUGAGUGAUGAAGGCUUUCGGGUCGUAAAACUCUGUUGUUAGGGAAGAACAAGUGCUAGUUGAAUAAGCUGGCACCUUGACGGUACCUAACCAAAAAGCCACGGCUAACUACGUGCCAGCAGCCGCGGUAAUACGUAGGUGGCAAGCGUUAUCCGGAAUUAUUGGGCGUAAAGCAGCGCGCAGGUGGUUUCUUAAGUCUGAUGUGAAAGCCCACGGCUCACCCAUGGAGGGUCAUUGGAAACUGGGAGACUCGAGUGCACAAAAGAAAAGGGAAAAUCCCUGUGUAACGCUGAAAUGCAAAAGAAAGGGAGAAACACCAGUGGCAGAAAGCAACUUUUGGUCUGUAACAGACCCUGAAGCGCGAAAACUUGGGGAACCAACAGAGAUUGAAAACCCCGUGAUCCCCCCCCCAAAACCAAC